rnacentral:miRNA from 1 species
GUGGAUCAGUUUUGCGUGUUUUGU